rnacentral:lncRNA from 1 species
GUAGGGGCAAGUGUGCGUGCGUGUAUGUGAGCGUCUGCAUCCGUGUGAUUCGCAAUAAUGUUUUUAUCGCUGAUUAACAUUUCAAUUAUUUCUAACCUGUAAAUGAAAAUAUGAAGGCUUAUUUUUGUCCCUAUCUUAUAUUCCUAAUCUAAUAUAUGACGUUGGGAUAACUUACUUAGUUCAUUGAGACCGGAGGAAGUGUGAUUCGUAAGCCCUCUAUACUGAUUGGUCAUUUAUUGUCAUAUUUCUAAAGCUGUUGUUGAUAGCUCAUGACCGUUACCCGCCACCAGCGAAUGAUUCAAAAACAUAAAAACAUAAGCUCGAUCGGAACUCGUCCAGAUACCAAAUCCCUCUAGCUAAUGUCAGAAUGCGAUCCGAUUACUUGUAAACUGGGCAAGAAUGGGAGUACCUCGAGACUUGACCAGGGAUGCAAUCACAGCAAAGCUUCAGGCUUACAGGUAAGCAUAGUUCGGCUCACCCAUUGCCACUUGAGAAAUCAGCGGGAUUUAGUGAGACGUACAAGUUUAGAUUUGUAGGUGGGGGGAAACCAGCUGCGUCAUCAAUCAAGUUGAUUAUCUUGUUAUUGAGACCUAGGCCUUGAUUUAUAGUAUAUCAAGUAGUCGGGUCAGUUUCGACAAGCUCUUUGAUAAGAGCAACUCCACAAGCUCCCUUUUAUUAGUCCAAUACCUCAAUUAGGGAGAAAAGGAAAAAAAAAUAGGCUCCAACAACACUCCUAAACUUCCCGUAGAUAUUCAUCGUCCCGAAUCCUUCCCCCGUCGCCCAGCAUAUAUAUAUCCGUCGCUCCAAUCUUCCCCAAUCCUCCUCCCCCU